ensembl:lncRNA
AUCCCUUUCGUGUCUAUUUUCAAUGAGCCCUACUGCCACCACCUGGCACAUCUCCCCCAAGGACACGCCACCUUCAACCAUAGUGCUUCAAGGUGACGGGAUCACUCUGAUUGGGAAGCGCACCUGCUUUAUCACCUCCCAGCCCCUCCCUCCGAACUAUCAGAAACCAGCCGCCUCCCUCUGCCAAGACCACUCCCCUACUGGCAGGAGACCCUGCAGGCAAAGGUCAUUCUCACGGUGGGCUGCCUCUUCUGGAAGGAUCCAGCCCCAAGAUGAGGCUGCCACAGGGCCCGGUUCUGUCGAUGCCUGCAGGUAAG